GAAGAACACAAUUAGCCACUCGUAAUAAUAAGUACUCAAAAGAGUUGUGCGUAUGGAACAAUCAAAAUUGGUAUGGUGAAAGUCCAUCACCAGCGGCAACAUCCCAUAACAUCGAAAUAUAAAUGGUGUUGUGCUGGAGGGACAAUAAUUAUAACAAUGCCAUUUUACAGCGGGGAAGUUACAUUGGAGGCCGAGAAAGGCAAAAUCCCCUCUUUUUAACUUUCGCAUAAUCUAUUGAAUAACAGAACUCAGAACCGCAAUUUCAAGUGGAGAUAUUGGUGUGUGUAUGUCUUAAAUUCUGUCACAAUUAAUUGUUUGCUUUGAAAUCUAAUUCUACUAUUCUCACUGUUUGUUUUAGGUGGAUGAGAUGAAUUGCUUGAGAGUUACAGACGCAGAAAUGAGCGCAUUGACCGGCAGGUAGGAGCUAGGGAUCGAUGAAGAAGAGCAGAAGCUGAGCAAGGGAUCGCGCUCUUAGCUACUCGGUGGAAAGGGACGGACAUCUUAGCUGCUGGUAUUAUGUGAAUGAGGGGGCCAUCUGGUGUCGGUCCCUGCACUCUUUUCCGCUGCCGAUGACAACACCACAAAAACGACGGGACGCACACACCACACGCACUGAACCCACACGGCCAUCGUCGAUAGGCUCGAAUAUGCUUAUUCACAUCGUACUCAAGCCAUUAAAUGGUUCUUCAUCAGAUGGGUGUGUUAUGCCCAAUGAUGGAGCCAAGGGGGUAGAGGGGGUCAUGUUUUGAGAAUUUGAAUUCAUAAUAUGUAAAUAUGUGUGUAAAAUAAAAUUAGCCUCCCAAAAUUUUUACAAUUUUAGUUUAUAUUAUGAAAGUUGAUAUAUAUAUACAUAUGAAUUAGUCAUCUUUGAAUGGA
rnacentral:lncRNA from 1 species